UCUCUACAUUUCCUAAACUCUUUCCUUCUCAUUCUAAAUAUUACUCUCCUUCUCCAACACAUAUCACCCUUUCUUUGUGUAUAAAUUUAGAGACUUGACCUCAUUUCAAAAUCCGAAAUCUUCUCCUCUCUUUUCUACAUUAUUGCAUUAUUUUCUAAAUAAACAUACGUGUCAAAUGUGAUUUGCUCUGUUUGUUGAGAUCUUUGAAGUUCUGUGAUUUGAAGUGCCGCUAUCAUAGAAUAGUUAUUCCGUUCUAUCUUGGGAGGAAUUAAUCUGUGUACCUUGGGCAACAGUAAAGAGAUUAAAUUCCUUAAGGACACAUUGUGCAUGCAGUGGGCUCGGAAUUAUUUUACGAUUUUAUUUAUUGAACUAACGACGUGUUUGCUUCUCUGAUUUUGAAUACAACAAUACCAACAAUCUUAAGGAAUUUAAUAGAAUUGUUUUUAAAUUGAUGAUAGAUAGAUAAUUCAGAAUGUUAGUCUGAUUGAAGAAAAGUGAUGAAUUAUUUCGGAUGAUCUUAGGCAAUCUGUUGGAUUCAUAUUCAUCGGAAUGAUCUUUUGUUAAGAUGAAGGAAGUAUCACGACCUAUUCAAUUUAGUUUUAAUGUGAAGAAAGAAUUGGGAAGUGAACAGGAAAAGAAAUUUAGUCUAUUCUUCGCUUUUGUCUUUCGAUUAAUUCUUGCAACUAAUCGUCGAAGAAGAAUUAAGAAUAACUGAACAACCAAAAUAGUGCACUGUUUGUGAGAAAUAGUGUCUCACAAAAGUUGUUGAAUCUUUCACCAGAGUAAAUGUAGGAGAACAAUUUAACGGUAUAAGACAUUUAAAUGUAAGAAGGAAAGAGAUUUUGUUUAGUUGAUAAAUGAAGAAAUGGAGGUAGUUUGGAAGGUUUAAUAUAUCUAGCUAUAUGGAGAGAGAAUAGUUGAUAAAUGAAGAAAUGGAGGUAGUUUGGAAGGUUUAAUAUAUAUAGCUAUAUGGAGAGAGAAUUUUGUAAUUCUUCAACUUUUAUUACACAAGGGAUCACUUUGGUACACACUUGGGCUCACACUUUUUUUGUACAUUCUACAAAUGAGGAGGUCUUUCCCCUAUUUAUAGGCAUCAACCUCCAUGUUCUACGACAUUCUAGA
rnacentral:lncRNA from 1 species